UAGGGAAUCUUCCACAAUGGGCGAAAGCCUGAUGGAGCAACGCCGCGUGUGUGAUGAAGGGUUUCGGCUCGUAAAACACUGUUGUAAGAGAAGAAUGACAUUGAGAGUAACUGUUCAAUGCGUGACGGUAUCUUACCAGAAAGGAACGGCUGAAUACGUGCCAG
rnacentral:rRNA from 1 species